rnacentral:rRNA from 1 species
UGAGUGGCGAACGGGUGAGUAAUACAUAAGCAACCUACCCAUACGACCGGGAUAACCAUUGGAAACGAUGGCUAAUACCGGAUAGGUGUUCGGGGGACAUCCCCUGGAUAUUAAAGCUGGGAUACAGCACGAAUGGAUGGGCUUAUGGCGCAUUAGUUAGUUGGCGGGGUAACGGCCCACCAAGACGAUGAUGCGUAGCCGACCUGAGAGGGUGACCGGCCACACUGGGACUGAGACACGGCCCAGACUCCUACGGGAGGCAGCAGUAGGGAAUUUUCGGCAAUGGGCGCAAGCCUGACCGAGCAACGCCGCGUGAGUGAAGAAGGCCUUCGGGUUGUAAAGCUCUGUUGUAAGGGAAGAAUGACCAAGAUAGGGAAUGAUCUUGGAGUGACGGUACCUUACCAGAAAGCCACGGCUAACUACGUGCCAGCAGCCGCGGUAAUACGUAGGUGGCAAGCGUUAUCCGGAAUUAUUGGGCGUAAAGGGUGCGUAGGCGGUUUGAUAAGUCUGAGGUGAAAGUUCGGGGCUCAACUCCGAAUUGCCUUAGAAACUGUCAGACUUGAGUGUAGGAGAGGGCAAUGGAAUUCCAUGUGUAGCGGUAAAAUGCGUAGAUAUAUGGAGGAACACCAGUGGCGAAGGCGGUUGCCUGGCCUAUAACUGACGCUGAGGCACGAAAGCGUGGGGAGCAAAUAGGAUUAGAUACCCUAGUAGUCCACGCUGUAAACGAUGAUUACUAAGUGUUGGAGCAAUUCAGUGCUGCAGUUAACGCAAUAAGU